rnacentral:rRNA from 1 species
CGUCCGUGCGGAGCUACCAUGCAGUCGAGCGCACCUUCGGGUGAGCGGCGGACGGGUGAGUAACGCGUGGGAACGUACCCUUCUCUGCGGAAUAGCCACUGGAAACGGUGAGUAAUACCGCAUACGCCCUUCGGGGGAAAGAUUUAUCGGAGAAGGAUCGGCCCGCGUUGGAUUAGGUAGUUGGUGGGGUAAUGGCCUACCAAGCCUACGAUCCAUAGCUGGUUUGAGAGGAUGAUCAGCCACACUGGGACUGAGACACGGCCCAGACUCCUACGGGAGGCAGCAGUGGGGAAUCUUAGACAAUGGGCGCAAGCCUGAUCUAGCCAUGCCGCGUGAGUGAAGAAGGCCUUAGGGUCGUAAAGCUCUUUCGCUGGGGAAGAUAAUGACUGUACCCAGUAAAGAAACCCCGGCUAACUCCGUGCCAGCAGCCGCGGUAAUACGGAGGGGGUUAGCGUUGUUCGGAAUUACUGGGCGUAAAGCGCGCGUAGGCGGAUCAGAAAGUUGGGGGUG